rnacentral:rRNA from 1 species
AGCAGUAGCCGCGGUAAUACGUAGGUCCCGGGCGUUGUCCGGAUUUAUUGGGCGUAAAGCGAGCGCAGGCGGUUAGAUAAGUCUGAAGUUAAAGGCUGUGGCUUAACCAUAGUACGCUUUGGAAACUGUUUAACUUGAGUGCAAGAGGGGAGAGUGGAAUUCCAUGUGUAGCGGUGAAAUGCGUAGAUAUAUGGAGGAACACCGGUGGCGAAAGCGGCUCUCUGGCUUGUAACUGACGCUGAGGCUCGAAAGCGUGGGGAGCAAACAGGAUUAGAUACCCGCGUAGUCCCUGUCUCUUAUACA